GCUAAUUUACGUGAUACCUGGUUUCUCAGAGAGGAAGGGGAAGAAUUUCAGAUAUCAAAGGUCAACUGUCCGGGGGUCAGAUAUCAAAGGUCAACUGUCCGGGGGUUUCUUCGGAUGGGGCCACAGUGUCUCCUGACCGCUCCUGUCUCAGCGUCCAGUAUUUAUGCUGCAGUAGUUUAUGUGUCGGGGGGCUAGGGUCAGUUGGUUAUACCUGGAGUACUUCUCCUGUCUUAUCCAGUGUCCUGUGUGAAUGUAAGUAUGCUCUCUCUAAUUCUCUCGUUCUCUCUUUCUCUCUGAGAACCUGAGCCCUAGGACCAUACGUCAGGACUACCGGGCAUGCUGACACCUUGCUGUCCCCAGUCCGCCUGGCCUUGCUGCUAUUCCAGUUUCAACUGUUCUGCCUGCGGUUACGAAACCCCUACCUGUCCCAGACCUGCUGUUUUCAACUCUUAAUGAUCGGCUAUGAAAAGCCAACUGAGAUUUAUUCCUGAUUAUUAUUUGACCAUGCUUGUCAUUUAUGAACAUUUUGAAAAUCUUGGCUCUCUCUAAUUUUCUCCUUCUCUCUUUCUUUCUCUCGGAGGACCUGGGCCCUAGGACCAUGCGUCGGGACUGCCACCCGUGGUGACUCCUUGCUGUCCCCAGUCCGCCUGGCCUUGCUGCUAUUCCAGUUUCAGCUGUUCUGCCUGCGGUUAUGGAACCGCCACCUGUCCCAGACCUGUUGUUUUUCAACUCUUAAUGAUCAGCUAUGAAAAGCCAACUGAAAAUUAUUCAUGAUUAUUAUUUGACCAUGCUUGUCACUUAUGAACAUUUUUGAACAUCUUGGCAUAGUUCUGUUAUAAUCUCCACCCGGCACAGCCAGAAGAGGACUGGCCACCCCUCAUAGCCUGGUUCCUCUCUAGGUUUCUUCCUAGGUUUUGGCCUUUCUAGGGAGUUUUUCCUAGCCACCGUGCUUCUACACCUGCAUUACUAGCUGUUUGGGGUUUUAGGCUGGGUUUCUGUACAGCACUUCGAGAUAUUAGCUGAUGUACGAAGGGCUAUAUAAAAUAAAAUUGAUUGAUAAAAAGCUACAUAAAAAAUCCUCAGUUUCUGGAAUAUUAUACCUUAUUUUGUUUUUCAGAAGUUCAGAGGGUUUAAUUUUUUACUACAAUGUCCAUAUAUUGUGGGUAAACUUCCUGUGAAACUGGCAGCUUUUCACAAGCAGGCUUUAAUAUAUAAACACAACUUUUCACCUCUUAAAUGUUUUAUAUGGAACAAUGGGUCGAUAUUACAUAGAAACAAGAUGUUAUUUAACCAUAAAUGGUUCUCGAAAAACAUUGUCCUUGUCAGCCAAUUAGUUAAUAUUAGUGGGAAUCUAUUUACACGGAGAGAAUUUAUGGAAAGAUACAACUUUGAGGUUUCAAGCAAGGAAUAUGACACUGUUAUUAAAGCUAUACCUAGUGGGAUAAAAACUUUACUUCAGAAUAAUGCAUAUUUUGGAAUAUCUCCGAUUGUAAGCGAUAUCCAGGUGAAUGGCAUUGGUCUACUAGAUAUGAAAUUCAACAAUCAUUUAUUAAGGGAUAUUUUCUACAGGAAGUCUAUUCCCUCUGCGAUAUUUUGUUGGGCUUCAUCGUUUGAUGUAAACUUGGCUCACUCCACACAAAUUUAUGGUGACCAAUAAAGUAAAGGAGAUCUCCUUUAAGAUUAUCCAUAGAUUCUAUCCGUGUAAUAGGUUGAUUUCUAAAUAUAUACCUGAUGUUACCAGUGAAUGCUUUUUUUGUGAACUAGUAACUGAAUCUAUUGAACACUUAUUCUGUCAUUGUUUAUAUAGUGAAGUGUUCUGGACUGAUGUAAAACUAUAUCUUGGCCUCAAAUUGCAUACAACCAUUGACAUUUCUAAGUUUGGCAUAUUAUUUUACUACACUGAUUCCACAAUUGAACGUGAGGAUGUCAUAAAUCUCUUUAUUUUAUUAGGAAACAUUUUCAUACACAAAUCAAAAUUUAUGAAGAAAAAGCCCCUUUUUAUUAAUAUUUGUAUCUGAUUUGGAAAACUAUUUAGAGUAUUUAAAACAUAUACAAAACAAAAUGUAAAAAAAAAAAAUAUUCGCUAUAUAUUUGAAUUGAUAUAAUGUGGAUUAGUAAAAAGGAAAAAAUCUAAUUUCUUUGUGGAAUCCCUCUGGCUGUUAUGUUUUUGUUUUGCAUGUUACUGUUAAUAAAAAAUGGAAAAAUUAAAAAUCUGCUGUCAUUUAAAAAAAAAUAUAUACUGUAUAUUAAGAAGGGAAGAGAGAGGCCCAACUCGGGGGGAAAUAUGUCUCCCUCCAGCAGGUAGCGUUUUUUCGUUGUUUCGCCCAUCAAGCAAGGAGUUUUUGUAUGGAGGUCAAUGAGAGAGUGUCGAAUUUGGUCAACAAUAAAGAAUAGUUGCUUAUUUUCUA